rnacentral:lncRNA from 1 species
CUCCUCCUGGUCCGGCUGCCCCGGCUCCUCCCGCCGCCGCCCUGGGCCCAGCCCCGCCCGGUCCGCGGCUCCCGCGCCCCCGACCGCCGCCGAGCGCCGCACGCAGACAAUAGCGGCCGCCGGGGCCGCGGGGUACACGGGGCCCGCCCCCAAGAAGUUCUUCUUCCGAGGGUCGCCCGGGCCCCUUUCGGGAGCCGGAGUCCCGUCCGGGCGGCUGGUGACUGUCGCCCGGCUCGGGUUCUCCCGUGGC